UAUAAGGGAUUUUGAGUUUUUACUUGUAACGUUUGAUCACUCGUCUUAUUCAAAUUUUUUUGAAAUUAUUAUUUAUUUUAUUUGUGACUUACUUUAUUAUCCACAGUACUUUAAGCACAACUUUUCAUUUUUUUAUAUUUGCAAAAAAAAAUUUGAAUAAGACGAGCGGUCAAACGUUGCAAACAAAAAACUCAAA
rnacentral:pre_miRNA from 1 species